GACGAACGCUGGCGGCGUGCUUAACACAUGCAAGUCGAGCGGUAAGGCCCUUUCGGGGGUACACGAGCGGCGAACGGGUGAGUAACACGUGGGUGACCUGCCCUCAGCUCUGGGAUAAGCCCGGGAAACUGGGUCUAAUACUGGAUAUGACUCCACGGUGCAUGCCGUGGGGUGGAAAGCCUUGUGCGGCUGAGGAUGGGCCCGCGGCCUAUCAGCUUGUUGGUGGGGUGAUGGCCUACCAAGGCGACGACGGGUAGCCGGCCUGAGAGGGCGACCGGCCACACUGGGACUGAGACACGGCCCAGACUCCUACGGGAGGCAGCAGUGGGGAAUAUUGGACAAUGGGCGAAAGCCUGAUCCAGCGACGCCGCGUGGGUGAAGAAGGCCUGC
rnacentral:rRNA from 1 species